rfam:Gammaproteobacteria bacterium RIFCSPHIGHO2_12_FTLL_42_10 rifcsphigho2_12_scaffold_15657, whole genome shotgun sequence.
CUAUCAAUAAAGUAAUUUACUGAGAUGACGAAUGAGAAGUCAGCAGAGGGCAUAGUACGUAAAUAAUUUUUUUUACGGAAGGCC